rnacentral:rRNA from 1 species
UACGGAGGAUGCGAGCGUUAUCCGGAUUUAUUGGGUUUAAAGGGUGCGUAGGCGGGCUUUUAAGUCAGCGGUAAAAAUUCGGAGCUCAACCCCGUCCGGCCGUUGAAACUGGGGGCCUUGAGUGGGCGAGAAGAAGGCGGAAUGCGUGGUGUAGCGGUGAAAUGCAUAGAUAUCACGCAGAACCCCGAUUGCGAAGGCAGCCUUCCGGCGCCCUACUGACGCUGAGGCACGAAAGUGCGGGGAUCGAACAGG